rnacentral:rRNA from 1 species
GAUGAACGCUGGCGGCGUGCCUAAUACAUGCAAGUCGAGCGAACAGAUGAGGAGCUUGCUCCUCUGACGUUAGCGGCGGACGGGUGAGUAACACGUGGAUAACCUACCUAUAAGACUGGGAUAACUUCGGGAAACCGGAGCUAAUACCGGAUAAUAUAUUGAACCGCAUGGUUCAAUAGUGAAAGACGGUUUUGCUGUCACUUAUAGAUGGAUCCGCGCCGCAUUAGCUAGUUGGUAAGGUAACGGCUUACCAAGGCAACGAUGCGUAGCCGACCUGAGAGGGUGAUCGGCCACACUGGAACUGAGACACGGUCCAGGCUCCUACGGGAGGCAGCAGUAGGGAAUCUUCCGCAAUGGGCGAAAGCCUGACGGAGCAACGCCGCGUGAGUGAUGAAGGUCUUCGGAUCGUAAAACUCUGUUAUUAGGGAAGAACAAAUGUGUAAGUAACUAUGCACGUCUUGACGGUACCUAAUCAGAAAGCCACGGCUAACUACGUG